CACAAGCAAUAGCUUCGUCUUGCUGGCCAGUCCACAUUGUGUUGAACGAAUGCUUGGGGGAUAGCAUCAAACGACUCAACGUAUGAGUUACCCUCGAGAGCCACCGUCGUUACAAGAAUACACCAGCUGUAUGAAAGCGGAGGAGUUGAAACAUGCAACCGCUGUUGCUCUCACGGGAGAGCACUGGACUUCAGCCAGUAACCACAACUACCUUGGGGUUCUGUGCACCACAUUGAUGAAAACUGGAAACUGCAUUCACAUGCUCUGGCCGUAAUGAAGACAAGAGAGGCACUAUGCUGAAACGUGCACCGGGCAUUUCAUGGAUCUAGCAAAGCAGUGGAACAUUGAAAACUAAGUUACCACCGUUUGCACAGACAGUGAACACAGAGAUGCUCUGGUCCAACAGAAUACUAACAUCACCAUGCCAACCACAGCUGAAUUGGAGAAACUGUAGAAGUUGGAGGCACUGCAGGUAUUUGCCUGAACUUCUGGGAGGAGAGAAGUUAAUUUCCUGCUCUGUGGUGUUGCCUGCUUUCUGCCAUCUCCUUCAGGUGAUGGAGAGCUCCGAUGAUGACCUUGUCUAAAUGGUAAGAUUCAAGCUGACAUUCACAACAGACCUGGAGAAACGCAAGUGGAGAAAACACCAACCUCACAUGGCUGAAGAACGCCACAGCACUCGACCCAAGGUUUAAGGACCUGAAGUGCCUUCCCAGACCUGAGAGGGGUGAGGUGUGGGCUUUGGUCAGCAACUUGCUGAAGGAAGAGAGGCCUGCACAGCAACCUGAUGAAGCAACAGAGACAGAGCAACUAAAGAAGAAAGCUGCCAAAAAGCUACAGAAUAUUUUUAGUGUUUCAGUCCUUACAUUCCUAUAACUGAAUAAACUGCUUUUUUAAAUGGAAAUAUGUUCAUUUAGUCGCUCUGGAUAAGAGCGUCUGCUAAAUGACUUAAAUGUAAUGUAAAUGUAAAAUUUGAGCAACAAAAAAAAGUGUGAUUAACUUCAGAAUGUAAUGCAAUUAAUUAUUUGAAUAAUUUGACAGCCCUAUAUUAAAUGUUUUGAAAUCUCA